UGAGUAACACGUAUCCAACCUGCCGUCUACUCUUGGACAGCCUUCUGAAAGGAAGAUUAAUACAAGAUGGCAUCAUGAGUCCGCAUGUUCACAUGAUUAAAGGUAUUCCGGUAGACGAUGGGGAUGCGUUCCAUCAGAUAGUAGGCGGGGUAACGGCCCACCUAGUCUUCGAUGGAUAGGGGUUCUGAGAGGAAGGUCCCCCACAUUGGAACUGAGACACGGUCCAAACUCCUACGGGAGGCAGCAUG
rnacentral:rRNA from 1 species